UCCCCCGUAGGUUAAGUAGACCGCUGGAAUUAGACCUGCCGGAAGUGCCGGUUCAAAUCCGGCCGGGGGAG